rnacentral:lncRNA from 1 species
UGUGUGAACAUCAAUCUUUUUUGUACAAUUUUCAUUGAACAUAUUAAGAGGGGACUUCACAAUGUACACACAAAUAAUGUGUUUGUAUCAUCAAAUGCUCUUCUAAUUUACAACACUAUAAAAUAUAGCAGUAAAUGAGUGGGUCUUUAAAGAAAAAUGUGUCAAUUGACAUCUCCAAAUAAUAUGAACAGAAAUGGAUAUCCACGUUAAAAAAAAAACACAACACAAUAAUCACUUGAAUAAAAAUUUGCAUGUGGAAAAAAAUGUUUAUGUUUGGUGGAAUUCUGUCAAGUCCAUUUUAACUGAGUUACUGAUUUACAUAAAAAAAGUGUAAUGCAAAAUCACAUAGAACAGAAGUGAUCCUUUUUGUGUUGUUAGCUAUGCUGUCCCCUAAACAUAAAGUGUGACUUAAAAACUUUUUUCUUGUGGGUAGCCAGUUCACAUAUUUUUUUCAAAGUUGUUUUUAUUUAGAACUGCAAAAUAACAACAGAAAAUGCAAAAAUGAAAACUUGCAUGUUAAAUUUUGGCAUUAUAGUAUGCAGCAUUUACUGAAAUCACAAUUUAGUCUCACAAUUUUGUCCAUUCUUUAGAAAUCAAUAAGAAGUGCAAAAAUUUCUGAUUUAACACUUACGUCAAUUACUGUGGGGUCAUUAUUAUUGGUUGGAUACCAAUUUUCGUGGAUUUCCUGGAUUCAGGUAAACCAUGAAAUAAAUUAAUCAACCAAUGACAAAUUUUCUAUUAGCUUGUAUGCAGACCUGGGAAAAACCACAAAAUUUAAUAUCCAUGAACAUACAAGUUUUCCUUCCACAAAAAUUGGUACCCAGGAAAAAUAAAUGAAUCCACAGUGAAUCUUUAAAAGUAAGACCACUUUAUAUGUAGAUAAAGUUUCAUUUCAUUAACUUUUUUAGGAAAAUAAAGAAAUAAACAAUAUUUGAAUGUAAAUUUAUGAAAGAAAUAUCAUUAUAACUGUAUAAAUUAAGAAUAGUUAAGAUACACUGAUCUCUUAAAUGCUGAAUUAUCCAAUGAAAUAUACUAAUCGUUAUUAGUCCUUUCAACCAAUCUUCCUCUUUAUAUCCACUGGCAUUCAUCUGACAUAACGUCACCAAACUAUCAACAACAUUCAGAUUAAUUGUACCAUUACAAGUACACAGAUGAUCACAUUUAAACUGUUUUGACUUAUAAAUGACAAGUGAUAAAAGCUUUUUAAGCCAUUUAAAGACGAUAUAUUUAUCCAUAUUAUUAAGCUCUGCCAUGAUUGUCUUAUGUGGUUUUCGCCCGUAUUGCAGCUCUCUUUCCUGUAACGGCCUGGAAACCAGAUUUGAUGCUAGCGACAGAGCAUCGAGAUCCACAUGUUUCACACUGUAGAAAGAAAAGUCUAGUAUCUUUUUGAAGCAACGUGUCAGGUGACCUACAGGUAUGACAGGUAACAUACUCUUCUGCAAAUAAAAAUAUAGUCUCAUUAUAUUAGAUCAUACUUUUAAAAUUGC